rnacentral:rRNA from 1 species
AGAGCGAACGCUGGCGGCAGGCCUAACACAUGCAAGUCGAGCGCCCGUAGCAAUACGGGAGCGGCAGACGGGAUAGUAACACGUGGGAACGCGCCCUUCGGUUCGGAAUAACUCAGGGAAACUUGAGCUAAUACCGGAUACGCCCUUACGGGGAAAGAUUUAUUGCCGAAGGAACGGCCCGCGUCCGAUUAGCUAGUUGGUGAGGUAAUGGCUCACCAAGGCGACGAUCGGUAGCUGGUCUGAGAGGAUGACCAGCAUCACUGGGACUGAGACACGGCCCAGACUCCUACGGGAGGCAGCAGUGGGGGAAUAUUGGACAAUGGGCGCAAGCCUGAUCCAGCCAUGCCGCGUGGAUGAUGAAGGCCUUAGGGUUGUAAAGUCCUUUUAACGGGGAAGAUAAUGACGGUACCCGUAGAAUAAGCCCCGGCUAACUUCGUGCCAGCAGCCGC